rnacentral:rRNA from 1 species
AGGGUUUGAUUAUGGCUCAGAUUGAACGCUGGCGGCAUGCCUUACACAUGCAAGUCGAACGGUAACAGGUUAAGCUGACGAGUGGCGAACGGGUGAGUAAUAUAUCGGAACGUGCCCAGUUGUGGGGGAUAACUACUCGAAAGAGUGGCUAAUACCGCAUGAGACCUGAGGGUGAAAGCGGGGGAUCGCAAGACCUCGCGCAAUUGGAGCGGCCGAUAUCAGAUUAGCUAGUUGGUGGGGUAAAAGCCCACCAAGGCGACGAUCUGUAGCUGGUCUGAGAGGACGACCAGCCACACUGGGACUGAGACACGGCCCAGACUCCUACGGGAGGCAGCAGUGGGGAAUUUUGGACAAUGGACGAAAGUCUGAUCCAGCCAUGCCGCGUGCGGGAAGAAGGCCUUCGGGUUGUAAACCGCUUUUGUCAGGGAAGAAACGGCUCGCUCUAAUACAGUGGGCUAAUGACGGUACCUGAAGAAUAAGCACCGGCUAACUACGUGCCAGCAGCCGCGGUAAUACGUAGGGUGCAAGCGUUAAUCGGAAUUACUGGGCGUAAAGCGUGCGCAGGCGGUUAUGCAAGACAGAUGU